rnacentral:misc_RNA from 1 species
GUGAAUCAUCGAAUUUUUGAACGCAAAUUGCGCUUCCUAGUAUUCCGGGGAGUAUGCCUGUUUGAGGGUCAGUUUUAACAAAAAAAUCGGUUUGGUUGCAAAUUGUGACGUAUCCGGAGUUCGUGCAAUCUUAACUUGGUCGGUUAAGGGGUUUAUAAUUGACUUUUUUUGCGCAUUGUUAGACGUACAUAAAUUUUUUUUUAUGCGUCUAUUCUUAAUGCCAAAAUCUUAUUAGAAGCGAUCACAUCGUGUCGCUUCGU